GCAUUCAUAGAUUAAAAAAAUUGUGGGGCUGUUAACCCUAAGAAAGCUUUAUAGCUUGUAUGCG
rnacentral:tRNA from 1 species